ACCCUCAAAAUUCUGGGGUUACGUACUCUCGUUUCCCCUCCCUCCUUUAUUUAUCAUCUUGUUCCAGUGGCGGAAUCAAUCAUUUUCCGAUCAAUGCUCAACCUUCUCCGUCAUCAUCGUCAGUAUCUUCUAGUAAGUAGAAAUUUAGCAGCCAGCACUGCCUUUCUAAGGGAUACACUCUGUAGAAGAAGGCACGAGAAGAGUGGAUUGCUACCCUAAGUUAUAUCUUAUAAAUCUGCCUGAAAAUUGAAGUAUGAAGGACAAAUCUGACGUAUGGAAGCUGGAUCUGCAUGGUUUGGCAUGUUUCAAGAGCUGUUUACGCCUUAAAGAGCAUCUUUGAAGGAUGGAGACGCAGAUCUCAGUACAUUAUUCUAUAAAUCCCAGUAUACUUGUUGAACGAAAACUUGGAUCUUCAACUGAUUCUAUUACUCGCUUCUGCAUGGAGAAAAAGCCUGGCUGAGCAGGAAAUAACUUUGUGAAGCCCAGAAGUAUUACAUGUUACUUAUAACAGGGAUACGCUCUGUAGAAGAAGGCACAAGAAGAGUGGAUUGCUACCCUAAGUUAUUUCUUAUAAAUCUGCCUGAAAAUUGAAGUAUGAAGGACAAAUCUGACGUAUGGAAGCUGGAUCUGCAUGGUUUGGCAUGUUUCAAGAGCUGUUUACGCCUUAAAGAGCAUCUUUGAAGGAUGGAGACGCAGAUCUCAGUACAUUAUUCUAUAAUUCCCAGUAUAUUUGUUGAGCGGAAACUUUGAUCUUCAACUGAUUCUAUUACUCGCUUCUGCAUGGAGAAAAAGCCUGGCUGAGCAGGAAAUAACUUUUUGAAGCCCAGAAGUAUUACAUGUUACUUAUAACAGGGAAGUAGAUGCUGUACAGUUUCCAGAUGCUAUCUGGGCCUGAGUUGCUUCCGUACAUUUAGCGGCCCCUCAAAGCUACAGAGUACAACUUCUCCAUUGUGUUAUUGCGAGGGACAGUUUGAAAGUAUAUUUGAUUCCUGCAUUGCCUAUACUGGACCAGGAAAACACUGUAAGGGAUUGUCUAUCCACUUUCCUUGUUCUGCUUUCACGGGUACUUCUCAGUGUUCAGCGCAUGGUUUCUCAAAUUUGCAAGUCUCAUCAAGGCCCUAGGUGUUUUCCUUGAUUCUUCUGCAUCAAUACAUCAUAUUCUGCACUCUAGGCUCCUUUUCAGUUUCAUCGCUGUCUGCUUCAUCUGUUCAUCCUUCUAUGAUGGGAUCUCCUUCCGAGCUGGUUCAUCUAAGAAGUUUCACCAUGUAAUUGGUCUGGUAUAAGAUGUGUCGGUUCCAAAGUUCAUGAGGUUGAUUUAACAUGCAGUCAGUUUCCACUACAGCUUCCGUCUCCAAGCCUCCUUGGGGAACUCAGAUCACUGAAGCAUCUUAAUGUCAGCUACCGUGCCUUCGCAAGCUCUCUUCCUGCAAAUAUAUGGAAUAUGUAGAAUUUAGAGUCUCUAGACUAGGGUGGUAACAGAUUGUUGGGACUAUACCUUCGUCUUUGUCUAACCUUAAAAAAUGCUCAGAGAACUAAUACUUGAUGAAAAUAGCUUCACUGGAAGCUUCCACAGUUUGAGAACUUGGAAAACUCAUCGAACUGUCAGCACGCGACAACUCAUUUUCUGGGAAGCUUCCUCCAGGGAUUGGGAAUCUUCAGAAUUUGGUGUCAGUAAACAUGAGCAUGAACCUCUUCUCCGGGAAUAUGCCUCCAAGCAUCGGAAAUCUUACAAGGCUUCUAUACUUGGAUGUUAGUGGUAACAAAUUCAUUGGAGUAAUUCUUCAAUAGCUUGGAAACUUGGUACAGCUCAGAAAACUCGAUCUUCCGAGGAACUUACUGGAAGGACCCAUACCUUUGGAAAUAGGAAGAAUGUCUGUCCUACAAUCUCUGAUAUGGGGAACAAUAAUCUCCUUGGAGAACUACUGAAAACCAUGUGCUUGUUCUGGAGAAUUGUCAACUUAUGGGGGACACUUCCAAAUGAACUUUUCUACUUGAGAAACUUGACAUUAUUCAACAUAGUCCAAAACAGUUUCGAAGGAGAAAUUCUUUCCAGUUUUUGUGAAUUGUCCUAUCUAAUUUACCUUGUAGCAGCAAAAUCAGGGCUGAGUUGAAGAAUUUCGGGGAGAUUGGGAAGCUGCAAGAAGUUAAAGAUUCUCAAUCUGUCUUUCAACUUUCUUUCUGGGGCUUUACCAGAGGUUAUGGAGCUUGAAUCGCUCAGUUCACUUGUGCUUGAUUCUAACCGUUAAUCAGGACCAAUUCCCAGUUGGAUUUCAAAUUGGGCAGAAGGGAACUCAAUAAUACUGAGCAGGAACCAGUUUAAUGAGUCUUUGCCACUACUAUAUCUACUGUACCUGACCAGAUGUGACGCCACUUCAGACCAGCUUUCUGGUGAGACUUGGAAGAAAUAUGCCAUGAAGCUCAGAGGCAGUAUUCAGAAUAUUUGGCCUGCACAUAUUUGCAGUUGAUUGGGAACAAACUCUUUGGUGAAAUACCAGGUCAUCUAUGUGAGCUUCAGCUAGUUACACUGGAAUAAUUGCACAAUAAACUUUCUGGCAGACUUCCUGGGUGAACUUUGGAAAUCACAGACUCUUGUAGAGAUCUCUUUCAGCAACAAUUUUCUUGUGGGUCACCCAAUCAUCACCCACUUGAGUGGAAAGCCUCAUUCCCAAGAUGUUCGCUGUCUUCUGAGCUUCGAUUCCUCCGUGGUCAAGCAGCUCUCCCCAACAGCUGUGAUAAGCAACCUCAAUGCAAGAUGGGAGUACGACCCGGAGAUUGCCCUUGGGGUUGGCCUUUGGUAUAACUUGAUGUUUAGUGAUUUAGCCCCAGCUGACACUGGCUUCAAAAUUACAUUUUAUUAUUUGCUUCUAGUGAGGCAAAGAGUCGCCGUGAAUUAAAAGUGACAGUAUUUUAUUUCAAAAUGGAGCAAGUCAAUUAAUGGUAUGAGUCGCUUUUAGAGAAAUCACUUGGGUGUAGGUGAAAGUCGGCUUCUGAUGUUGCUGGUUGUUUCUUUGUAUGCAUCAAACUUGUUUCUUUGUAUGCAUCAAACUCAUUUUGAACGGAAAAGUAUUGGUAUGUGAAAUGAACUACUAGUUAACAAUC